rnacentral:rRNA from 1 species
CGGACGGGUGAGUAACGCGUGAGAAUUUACCAAAAGGAUCGGGACAACCACUGGAAACGGUGGCUAAUACCGGAUGAGCCGAAAAGUAAAAAGGGAAACCUGCCUUUUGAAGAGCUCGCGUCUGAUUAGCUAGUUGGUGAGGUAAGAGCUCACCAAGGCAGCGAUCAGUAGCUGGUCUGAGAGGAUGACCAGCCACACUGGGACUGAGACACGGCCCAGACUCCUACGGGAGGCAGCAGUGGGGAAUUUUCCGCAAUGGGCGAAAGCCUGACGGAGCAAUACCGCGUGAGGGAAGAAGGCUCUUGGGUCGUAAACCUCUUUUAUCAGGGAAGAAAAAAAUGACGGUACCUGAAGAAUCAGCCUCGGCUAACUCCGUGCCAGCAGCCGCGGUAAUACGGAGGAGGCAAGCGUUAUCCGGAAUUAUUGGGCGUAAAGCGUCCGCAGGUGGCUUAUCAAGUCUGCUGUCAAAGAGUGGGGCUUAACCCCAUUAAGGCAGUGGAAACUGAGAAGCUAGAGUGCCGUAGGGGUAGAGGGAAUUCCCGGUGUAGCGGUGAAAUGCGUAGAGAUCGGGAAGAACAUCGGUGGCGAAAGCGCUCUACUNGACGGCAA